GAUAGCGUGUCCGAGUAGUUAGGGAGAUUGACUCGAAAUCUAUUAGGCCCUGCCUGCGCAGGUUCAGAUCCUGCCACUGUCA
rnacentral:tRNA from 1 species